rnacentral:tRNA from 1 species
GUAGUGGCUCAGUGGUAGAGCACUUGCCUGGCAUGUGUGAGGCCCUGGGUUCGAUCCUCAGCACCACA